GCAGGCGGUCCUUUAAGUCUGAUGUGAAAUCUCGCGGCUCAACCGCGAGCGGUCAUUGGAAACUGGGGGACUUGAGUGCAGAAGAGGAGAGCGGAAUCCACGUGUAGCGGUGAAAUGCGUAGAGAUGUGGAGGAACACCAGUGGCGAAGGCGGCUCUCUGGUCUGUAACUGACGCUGAGGCGCGAAAGCGUGGGGAGCGAACAGGAUUAGAUACCCUGGUAGUCCACGCCGUAAACGAUGAGUGCUAAGUGUUAGAGGGUUUCCGCCCUUUAGUGCUGCGGCAAACGCAUUAAGCACUCCGCCUGGGGAGUACGGUCGCAAGACUGAAACUCAAAGGAAUUGACGGGGGCCCGCACAAGCGGUGGAGCAUGUGGUUUAAUUCGAAGCAACGCGAAGAACCUUACCAGGUCUUGACAUCCUUAUGCCAUCCCUAGAGAUAGGGCUUUCCCUUUUAGGGACAUAAGUGACAGGUGGUGCAUGGUUGUCGUCAGCUCGUGUCGUGAGAUGUUGGGUUAAGUCCCGCAACGAGCGCAACCCUUGAUCUUAGUUGCCAGCAUUCAGUUGGGCACUCUAAGGUGACUGCCGGUGUCAAACCGGAGGAAGGUGGGGAUGACGUCAAAUCAUCAUGCCCCUUAUGACCUGGGCUACACACGUGCUACAAUGGAUGGUACAAAGGGCAGCGAAACCGCGAGGUUAAGCCAAUCCCAUAAAACCAUUCUCAGUUCGGAUUGCAGGCUGCAACUCGCCUGCAUGAAGCCGGAAUCGCUA
rnacentral:rRNA from 1 species